rnacentral:tRNA from 1 species
GAGAUGUUUGAGCGUUGUGACUGGGCAGGCGGUUACCUCUACAUGCGCUAAUGCUUGACAUUCCUGCGCCUA